rnacentral:misc_RNA from 1 species
GAUGAAGAACGUAGCGAAAUGCGAUAAGUAAUGUGAAUUGCAGAAUUCAGUGAAUCAUCGAAUCUUUGAACGCACAUUGCGCCCGCCAGUAUUCUGGCGGGCAUGCCUGUUCGAGCGUCAUUUCAACCCUCAGGCCCCCAGUGCCUGGCGUUGGGGAUCGGCGCGGCGCCCUCCGGGGCGCUGCCGGCCCCGAAAUUCAGUGGCGGUCUCGCUGUAGCCCUCCUCCGCGUAGUAGCACAACCUCGCGGCCUGGAGCUCGGCGGUGGCCAUGCCGUAAAACACCCCACUUCUGAAAGUUGACCUCGGAUCAGGUAGGAAUACCCGCUGAACUUAAGCAUAUAAUAAGCGGAGGA